rnacentral:rRNA from 1 species
GACGAACGCUGGCGGCGUGCUUAACACAUGCAAGUCGAACGGAAAGGCCCUGCUUUUGUGGGGUGCUCGAGUGGCGAACGGGUGAGUAACACGUGAGUAACCUGCCCUUGACUUUGGGAUAACUUCAGGAAAAUGGGGCUAAUACCGGAUAGGAGCUCCUGCUGCAUGGUGGGGGUUGGAAAGUUUCGGCGGUUGGGGAUGGACUCGCGGCUUAUCAGCUUGUUGGUGGGGUAGUGGCUUACCAAGGCUUUGACGGGUAGCCGGCCUGAGAGGGUGACCGGCCACAUUGGGACUGAGAUACGGCCCAGACUCCUACGGGAGGCAGCAGUGGGGAAUAUUGCACAAUGGGCGGAAGCCUGAUGCAGCAACGCCGCGUGCGGGAUGACGGCCUUCGGGUUGUAAACCGCUUUCGCCUGGGACGAAGCGUGAGUGACGGUAAUGGGUAAAGAAGCACCGGCUAACUACGUG